rnacentral:rRNA from 1 species
CAGUAGCCGCGGGAAUACGGAGGAUCCGAGCGUUAUCCGGAAUUAUUGGGUUUAAAGGGUGCGUAGGCGGAUAGAUAAGUCAGUGGUGAAAGACGGUGGCUCAACCAUCGCAGUGCCGUUGAUACUGUUUAUCUUGAAUAUGGAUGAGGUAGGCGGAAUGUGGCAAGUAGCGGUGAAAUGCAUAGAUAUGCCACAGAACACCGAUUGCGAAGGCAGCUUACCAAGGCAAAAUUGACGCUGAGGCACGAAAGCGUGGGGAUCGAACAGGAUUAGAUACCCGCGUAGUCCCUGUCUCUUAUAC